rnacentral:piRNA from 1 species
AAAGAAAACUCUGGAGUUAGAGGAUAUA